rnacentral:rRNA from 1 species
AGUGAACGCUGGCGGUAUGCCUAACACAUGCAAGUCGAACGGCAGCACAGUAAGUUCUUGCUCUUACGGGUGGCGGGUGGCGGACGGGUGAGGAAUACACCGGAAUCUACUUUUUCGUGGGGGAUAACGAAGGGAAACUUAUGCUAAUACCGCAUACGACCUACGGGUGAAAGAAGUUGAUCUUCGGACCUUGCGCGAUUGAAUGAGCCGAUGUCGGAUUAGCUAGUUGUUGGGGUAAAGGCCUACCAAGGCGACGAUCAGUAGCUGGUCUGAGAGGAUGAUCAGCCACACUGGAACUGAGACACGGUCCAGACUCCUACGGGAGGCAGCAGUGGGGAAUAUUGGACAAUGGGCGCAAGCCUGAUCCAGCAAUACCGCGUGGGUGAAGAAGGCCUUCGGGUUGUAAAGCCCUUUUGUUGGGAAAGAAAAGCAGCAGGUUAAUACCCCGCUGUUAUGACGGUACCCAAAGAAUAAGCACCGGCUAACUUCGUG